rnacentral:rRNA from 1 species
GAUGAACGCUAGCGGCAGGCUUAAUACAUGCAAGUCGUGGGGCAGCAGGACUGUAGCACUACAGUUGCUGGCGACCAGCAAACGGGUGCGGAACACGUACGCAACUUACCCUGAACUGGGGGAUAGCCCGGGGAAACCCGGAUUAAUACCCCGUAAUAUAAUGGAGUGGCAUCACUUUAUUAUUAAAGCUCCGGCGGUUCGGGAUGGGCGUGCGGCUGAUUAGGUAGUUGGUUGAGGUAACGGCUCACCAAGCCUACGAUCAGUAACCGGUGUGAGAGCACGGCCAGGCAGCCGGGGAAUGAGGCCACGGCCCCAACCCCAAGGGAGGAAGGAGUAAGGAAGAAUGGGGAAAGGAGGCCAACUCUAACCAGGCCGUGCGGGUGGAGGAUGAAGGCCCUCUGGGUUGUAAACUUCUUUUAUAGGGGACGAAACCUGUGUAUUCUUACGCAGUUGACGGUACCCUAGGAAUAAGCACCGGCUAACUCCGUG